GACAGAGGAUCCAAGCGUUAUCCGGAAUCAUUGGGUUUAAAGGGUCCGUAGGCGGUUUGGUAAGUCAGUGGUGAAAGCCCAUCGCUCAACGGUGGAACGGCCAUUGAUACUGCCAGACUUGAAUUAUUAGGAAGUAACUAGAAUAUGUAGUGUAGCGGUGAAAUGCUUAGAGAUUACAUGGAAUACCAAUUGCGAAGGCAGGUUACUACUAAUGGAUUGACGCUGAUGGACGAAAGCGUGGGUAGCGAACAGG
rnacentral:rRNA from 1 species